CAAUGAUGACUUUGUUGCGAGUUCCGGAAAAUGCCCACGUCGGAGUUCUACAACCAUUGCCAAGAUGGAGACUCGCUGGUGAUGUCGAGGGGAUUGGAUGUGAAAUUAUGCCUCGAAUGGAUUCGUGUGAACCUGGCAGUGUAGUAAUGAUGAGUAACUCAAUAUUUGGGGAAAAUGUUGAUGCUAGAGUUGUACCCACAUGGCCCGGAUGGAAAGUCACCGGUGACGUCGACGAUAUCGAAUGACAAAUUAGGGUUGGAUUUUGAUUUUAUGCGAAGCGGGUGUGAACUACUGGUAAAUCAUUUUG
rnacentral:lncRNA from 1 species